AUUUGCUUCAACAGCAAUACAAUAAAAUUGGAAUGUUUAAGAGAAGAUUAGCACAAUCUCUGCUCAAGAAUGACAGAAAUUCAUGAAGUGUUCCAUAUUUUU
ensembl:snRNA U6 U6 spliceosomal RNA